UACGGGGGAUGCAAGCGUUAUCCGGAUUUAUUGGGUUUAAAGGGUGCGUAGGCUGUGAGGUAAGUCAGCGGUGAAAUGCCCCCGCUCAACGGGGUGAAGUGCCACUGAUACUGCCUUGCUGGAAUGCGGAUGCCGUGGGAGGAAUGUGUGGUGUAGCGGUGAAAUGCAUAGAUAUCACACAGAACACCGAUUGCGAAGGCAUCUCACGAAUCCGCUAUUGACGCUGAUGCACGAAAGCGUGGGUAUCAAACAGG
rnacentral:rRNA from 1 species